rnacentral:rRNA from 1 species
AUUGAACGCUGUGCGGCAGGCCUAACACAUGCAAGUCGAGCGGUAGCACAGAGAGCUUGCUCUCGGGUGACGAGCGGCGGACGGGUGAGUAAUGUCUGGGAAACUGCCUGAUGGAGGGGGAUAACUACUGGAAACGGUAGCUAAUACCGCAUAAUGUCGCAAGACCAAAGUGGGGGACCUUCGGGCCUCAUGCCAUCAGAUGUGCCCAGAUGGGAUUAGCUAGUAGGUGGGGUAACGGCUCACCUAGGCGACGAUCCCUAGCUGGUCUGAGAGGAUGACCAGCCACACUGGAACUGAGACACGGUCCAGACUCCUACGGGAGGCAGCAGUGGGGAAUAUUGCACAAUGGGCGCAAGCCUGAUGCAGCCAUGCCGCGUGUGUGAAGAAGGCCUUCGGGUUGUAAAGCACUUUCAGCGGGGAGGAAGGCGGUGAGGUUAAUAACCUCAUCGAUUGACGUUACCCGCAGAAGAAGCACCGGCUAACUCCGUGCCAGCAGCCGCGGUAAUACGGAGGGUGCAAGCGUUAAUCGGAAUUACUGGGCGUAAAGCGCACGCAGGCGGUCUGUCAAGUCGGAUGUGAAAUCCCCGGGCUCAACCUGGGAACUGCAUUCGAAACUGGCAGGCUAGAGUCUUGUAGAGGGGGGUAGAAUUCCAGGUGUAGCGGUGAAAUGCGUAGAGAUCUGGAGGAAUACCGGUGGCGAAGGCGGCCCCCUGGACAAAGACUGACGCUCAGGUGCGAAAGCGUGGGGAGCAAACAGGAUUAGAUACCCUGGUAGUCCACGCCGUAAACGAUGUCGAUUUGGAGGUUGUGCCCUUGAGGCGUGGCUUCCGGAGCUAACGCGUUAAAUCGACCGCCUGGGGAGUACGGCCGCAAGGUUAAAACUCAAAUGAAUUGACGGGGGCCCGCACAAGCGGUGGAGCAUGUGGUUUAAUUCGAUGCAACGCGAAGAACCUUACCUGGUCUUGACAUCCACAGAACUUUCCAGAGAUGGAUUGGUGCCUUCGGGAACUGUGAGACAGGUGCUGCAUGGCUGUCGUCAGCUCGUGUUGUGAAAUGUUGGGUUAAGUCCCGCAACGAGCGCAACCCUUAUCCUUUGUUGCCAGCGGUUAGGCCGGGAACUCAAAGGAGACUGCCAGUGAUAAACUGGAGGAAGGUGGGGAUGACGUCAAGUCAUCAUGGCCCUUACGACCAGGGCUACACACGUGCUACAAUGGCAUAUACAAAGAGAAGCGACCUCGCGAGAGCAAGCGGACCUCAUAAAGUAUGUCGUAGUCCGGAUUGGAGUCUGCAACUCGACUCCAUGAAGUCGGAAUCGCUAGUAAUCGUAGAUCAGAAUGCUACGGUGAAUACGUUCCCGGGCCU